rnacentral:rRNA from 1 species
GGAGAUCCGCCCUGACGACGAGUGGCGAACGGGUGAGUAAUACAUCGGAACGUGUCCGCUCGUGGGGGACAACCAGCCGAAAGGUUGGCUAAUACCGCAUGAGUUCUACGGAAGAAAGAGGGGGACCCGCAGCCUCUCGCGAGCGGAGCGGCCGAUGACUGAUUAGCCAGUUGGUGAGGUAACGGCUCACCAAAGCAACGAUCAGUAGCUGGUCUGAGAGGACGACCAGCCACACUGGGACUGAGACACAGCCCAGACUCCUACGGGAGGCAGCAAUGGGGAAUUUUGGACAAUGGGCGCAAGCCUGAUCCAGCUAUUCCGCGUGUGGGAUGAAGGCCCUCGGGUUGUAAACCACUUUUGUAGAGAACGAAAAGACAUCUUCGAAUAAAGGAUGUUGCUGACGGUACUCUAAGAAUAAGCACCGGCUAACUACGUGCCAGCAGCCGCGGUAAUACGUAGGGUGCGAGCGUUAAUCGGAAUUACUGGGCGUAA